GUGUCAGCAGCCGCGGUAAUACGUAGGGGGCCAGCGUUGCUCGGAAUUACUGGGCGUAAAGGGUCCGUAGGCGGUGUGGCAAGUCGGGAGUGAAAUCUCUGAGCUUAACUCAGAGGCUGCUUCCGAAACUGCCGUGCUAGAGUGUGAGAGAGGCGAGUGGAAUUGCGGGUGUAGCGGUGAAAUGCGUAGAUAUCCGCAGGAACAUCCGAGGCGAAAGCGGCUCGCUGGAUCACAACUGACGCUGAGGGACGAAAGCUAGGGGAGCAAACAGGAUUAGAUACCCUGGUAGUCC
rnacentral:rRNA from 1 species